AAUGGCUGUCAUACCCUCCUGAACAAGCCUGAUCCUGUCUGAUCUCGGAAGCUAAGCAGAGUCAGGCCUGGUAAGUACUUGGAUGGGAAACCACCUAGGAAGACCAGGUGCUGUAGGCA
rnacentral:rRNA from 1 species